GUUGCAGGCGCCGCGACUUUAAAGAACUGUAAAGGAAUUUUACACAAAGAUUUUUUCGUCUUUGGAUUUUUUUUUCCUAGAAAAGCACUAUAUUGUACAUGCAUUGCCGUGAAAUGAAAGGGACUUACCGGCUUCGUAUUCCUAUCUGGGCAACCCUUUACUUCCCUUCCCUUCCAGUAGGCCCAGAGAUCGCAAUUUUUUUACAAUAAUGACUGGGAUUGACCGAUAUAAGAAAAAAAAGGAUAAUAACAGUAUGUAUUAUUUUAUUUGAUGACGAAUUUUUCGAUUAAGCAUAAAGUUUUAAUGUCACGACGGUAAAUUGACGAAUACCUACUUAUUAU